UACGGAGGGUGCAAGCGUUAUCCGGAUUCACUGGGUUUAAAGGGUGCGUAGGCGGGCAGGUAAGUCAGUGGUGAAAUCUCCGAGCUUAACUCGGAAACUGCCGUUGAUUACUAUUUGUCUUGAAUAUUGUGGAGGUAAGCGGGAAUAUGUCAUGUAGCGGUGAAAUGCUUAGAUAUGACAUAGAACACCAAUUGCGAAGGCAGCUUACUACACAACGAUUGACGCUGGAGGCACGAAAGCGUGGGGAUCAAAACAGG
rnacentral:rRNA from 1 species